AGCUCGUGUCGUGAGAUGUUGGGUUAAGUCCCGCAACGAGCGCAACCCCUAUUGUUAGUUGCCAUCAUUCAGUUGGGCACUCUAGCGAGACUGCCGGUAAUAACCGGAGGAAGUGGGGAUGACGUCAAAUCAUCAUGCCCCUUAUGACCUGGGCUACACACGUGCUACAAUGGUUGGUACAACGAGUUGCGAGUCGGUGACGGCGAGCUAAUCUCUUAAAGCCAAUCUCAGUUCGGAUUGUAGGCUGCAACUCGCCUACAUGAAGUCGGAAUCGCUAGUAAUCGCGGAUCAGCACGCCCGUCGGUCGAAUACGUUCCGGGCCUU
rnacentral:rRNA from 1 species